rnacentral:lncRNA from 1 species
UUUCCACCUGUCAGUGUAGAUGAGAGAUUUAGAUAAUGAGCAUAGACUUGUUACCAUUGACUGGUUCUUCUGAGAUAGCAGUUCAGCUUCUGAUAAUUUCUUUACUAUCCUGGCCACAGGUAAGCAAGGGGGGUGUCAAUACAAUUGGUUCUCAGAGGCUAGUCUUAAUAAAAAACUAAAAGUAUUUCAAUAAUUAAUGGCAAGG